UCCAUCACCAAGCUCUACAAUUUGCAAACAUUGAGAUUCCUUAGGUGAGAGUCACUUGAAGAGCUUCCUAGAAAUAAAAUAUGCAAUCUGAUCAGCUUGAGAAAUAUUGAAUAUAUCUAACGAUCAGCAUAUGCCAUCUAAGGUGGGACGGUUAGCCAGUCUUGAAAGAUUAUCCUUGUUUGCUGUGGGUGCAGAUAGGGGAGGUAGCAUUAAAGAACUAGAAUGAUUACACCAACUAAGCGGGGAGUUGGAGAUAAUUUAUCUUGAGGGGGUGAGAAACAAAGAAGAAGCUAAGAAAUCAAAUCCACAGGGGAAAACGAAAUUGAAAGCCCUUCAUUUUGGAUGGAGAUUUUCUGGAAGAGCAAGCGAGAGCAAGCGACAACAAUGAUAAGGAAGUGUUGGAAGGUCUUGAGCCUCACUCAAACAUAAAGAGAAUAAAGGUAGAGAAUUAUUCGGGCAAAAAGUUCCCGCUGUGGCUAUAUAGGAUGAAAAUUCUGAGUGAAGAUGAUUCUUUAACUGUAUUUGAUAAUUUGGUGGAACUUGUAUUGGAGAAGUGUGAGUGGUGUGAAGAACUCCCAAGGCUUGACAUCUUCCUCGUCUUAAAACGCUCGAAAUAAUAAGAAUGGGCAAGAUAAGAUGUAUAGGGAACGAAUUCUAUGGCAUUGACAGUGGAAGCACAAGCAAUGGAGGGAGACUGUUUCCAGCAUUAAAGAAAUUAUAUUUUUAUGAUAUGAGGAGUUUAGUUGAAUGGAAGGCACCACCAGUAGAUGAAGGAGGCGAAACAUCUGUAUUUUCUUGCCUUGAAGAAUUGUCCAUAAAGAAUUCUCCUCGGUUGGCAAAAAUUCCAUUAAGUGAUAGUUCAUCGCUUGUGACAUUGGAAAUCGAUUAUUGUAACCAAUUGAAUUACUUAUUUGAAGAACAACAAGUACACUCCUUCUCCUCUCUUAAAAGCAUUACAAUUAGAGAGUGUCAUAAAUUAAUUUGUCUUCCAAGUGGACUGAAAUCCUUCACUUCUCUGGAAUCACUGGUAAUAAGGUAUUGCCACGGCCUAACAUCUGUUCCCGAAUAUUUAGGAGAAUUGCAUUCUCUUCGUCUUUUAGAAGUAACAUACUGUGGAAGUUUAAGUUACUUUCCAGAGACAAUAUUAGGAGGCCUCACCCGAUUAAGGGAAUUAAGAAUUGGUGGUCUGUCGGAGGAGUUGGAUUCUUUCCCUUAUCUGACUUCAAUCCAAGACCUCUCAUCCAUUGAAUCCUUAACUAUAUGUGGAGGUUGGAGAAGUAGAAUAAAGUAUCUGCAGAUCAACUUCAACGCCUCACUGCCCUAUACUCAUUGUCUAUACUCGGUUGGGCAACCUUUCGUCUCUUCAAACCCUGAAAUUACAGUCUUGUAUGAAAUUGAAGUGUCUACCUACAGCUACAGCCAUGCAACGCCUCUCCAAAUUAAGGAAGCUCGAGAUUACAUAUUGUCCUCUUAGAGAAAAUUGUACCAAGGGGAGUGGCUCUGAGUGGUCCAAGAUUUCUCAUAUCCCAGACGUAGAUAUAAGACGCAGGUAAUUACCAUUUUUUUUCUCCUCUUUGGGCGCGCACCGUGGACUGGCUUCAUUUGUGAAUUCUCAGGAUGUUGUUUAGUAAUAAAUGAUCAUCUUAUGGUGUUUGAAGUCCACACAAGGGUCGUUUGCAUUGAUCUAAAGAAUAUAUUAGAGAUUUUAGAGAUUGCAGGAUGCAAGAUAAUUUCAGAUACAACUGCAAUGUUUUCUCUGAAAUUUUCUGCUUUCAUUUGAGCCGAUUGGUAAAGCCAAAAAAUUGUUCAACUGAGUAGAAAGAAUGUCUUUGGUGCUGCCAACAUUGUCCCAGGUGGAAGACAGAAAAAUCUUUGGAGAUUGUUAUUAGCUCCUCAAGGGACUACACCUGCUGAAUUUCAAGUUCUAGCAAUAAGACUGAACUGAAAUAGAGAUAAGUCCCCAUCAAGAGCUUGAGCUUUGAGCCUCCAAUUCUCCUGAAAUUGUCAACUUCCUUUGGCUAAAACUGACUAGAGGACCAAGCAGUCUCACUUUUUGGAGUCAAUAGAAGAUGGAAGAGAAUUAGUGAGUUGAAGUUGUUGCAGCAGAGGAAAGGCAGAGUGAAUGCAGAUAGUCAGUCAAACAGGGUUAGGACUUGGCUUGUUAUUGAUGAAGAUGACUUCUCAAUACCAGCUACCAUGUUAGAUAUGCUUUCUUGUGAUGGUGAAGUUCUACUUGACCCAAUGGAUAGCUAGAUUCCAUGAAGAAAGGAAAUGAA